CGCCUCGCCCUCUGCAGCUCUGACCUCUGACCCACCGUGCAGGCCCAGGCUCCCAUGUGGGUGGUCGAGACUCCCACUCGGACGCCCUCAUCCCACUCAAGCUCCAACAUCCAGUUCCUCCAGCCACUGCGUCUCCUGCUUUGGCUCCUGCAGAUACUGACCCUGCUCACCCAACCUAACAGGUUGGCCCUGAACUUGUUUAGGAAGAGAAUGAAGGUAGCAGAGGAAGCAGAACGGGGGCCAUCUCGACGGCGUUCGUCAGUUAGCGCCUGCAGGAAAUCUGCCCAUGGUCCACCACCAAAGAGCUUGGAAACGCCUCAUUCUCAACGUCACAUUGGUCUGUGCUCUUCUGCUGACACAGAUGGCGAUUCUCGGGCUGCACCAGCUCCUCGCAGGCUUGAGCUUCACGCUGUGGUUGACCAUCUGACACAGACGGCGAUUCUCGGGCUGCACCAGCUCCUCGCAGGCUUGAGCUUCACGCUGUGGUUGACCAUCUGGUGCAGCAGCUCGGUCCUCGAUAGCCGUCUCUCAAACACUGUGGUUCUUCGCGUUGACUUGCGCUUCCAGACAAGCUCUGCGUCACAUCGGCAGGUUUAAGAGCCGCACGUGACUUUGCUCUGACUUACGCUCAGUCUUUAAACCUGAGAGUUCUCUCUCUGUCCCGUCGUUGCCUCCAGGUGACGUGUCUCCUUCGUGAGCUUCUCCAUGUCAAGCCUCUGCCUUUCCGGGACCUUUGCUCGCCUGCCGUGCUGCACGUCCGCUUGGGUCUGGCAGGAGACGUCCUGAUAGGAAGGGCCACCACGGCGCCCUGGGGAAAGACUCCUGGAGGCUCUCGGGCAGCCCUGCCUGAGGUCACUUGGCGGGCAGGAGUCCUGGUCCUCGUCCCGCCCGCUCCCGUGCCCCACACUUGCCAGAAACGCCCGUGUGGUCCCACGGUUACUCACCCUUGCCCCAGCGCCCUGUGCUGUGGCAUCUGUGUCUCUUUCCUUUGGCUUUGUUUGUUUGCUCUUUACACAUUUUCUAACUUUCCAGUGUUUCAGUGAGAGGAAGGGCAGGGACAGC
rnacentral:lncRNA from 1 species